rnacentral:rRNA from 1 species
CCUACGGGUGGCAGCAGUGAGGAAUAUUGGUCAAUGGGCGGAAGCCUGAACCAGCCAAGUAGCGUGCAGGAUGACGGCCCUACGGGUUGUAAACUGCUUUUAUACGGGAAUAACGCGCCUUACGUGUAGGGCUUUGCAUGUACCGUAUGAAUAAGGACCGGCUAAUUCCGUGCCAGCAGCCGCGGUAAUACGGAAGGUCCGGGCGUUAUACGGAUUUAUUGGGUUGAAAGGGAGCGUAGGCGGCAUGUCAAGCGUGCUGGGAAAUGUCCGGGCUCAACCCGGGCCGUGCAGCGCGGACGGGUGUGCUGGAGGCCGCGGAGAGCAGGCGGGAGUCGGGGGGUAGCGGGG